rnacentral:lncRNA from 1 species
CCCAACCCCACGCUGAGCUGUUUCACAGCCGGCCCUGCCCCCUCUCCAAGAUGCUGUUUUGGCACAACCAGCCGGAGCAUCUAUGGCCCAGUCCUGGGGACCUAUACCCUGGGCCCCCCAGCAGCCUGCUCAGGGAGCCCCUGCCCUUGCCCUACUUGAAGCAGGAGGAGCUGCCCAACAUCCCUGGCACGGAGCUGCCCUGCCCCAUGUUCUAGUACGUGCUCUGUGCAGCCACCUCGCCAGCCGUGAAGCAGCAGGAGGAGACCCUCACCUACCUGAACCAGGUCCUAUGAGGUCCGGAUGCUCUGCAGCUCCAAGCCGUGUGAUGCCACCCAGUGCCCCCAGCUGCUGAAGAUGUGCCACUGUCCGUGGGAGUGAUAGAACCCCAAGUGCUGCUCUCACAACUCAACAUGGUGGAGUUUCACUGGGACCCAACAAAGAGGACAUCUCUCUUCCUGCAGGUGAGCCUGAAGCU